rnacentral:rRNA from 3 species
GCCAAUCAAACUCGGAGAUAGCUGGUUCUCCCCGAAAGCUAUUUAGGUAGCGCCUCGGACGAAUACUACUGGGGGUAGAGCACUGUUUGGGCUAGGGGGUCAUCCCGACUUACCAACCCCAUGCAAACUCCGAAUACCAGUAAGUAAUAUCCGGGAGACACACGGCGGGUGCUAACGUCCGUCGUGAAGAGGGAAACAACCCAGACCGCCGGCUAAGGUCCCAAAGUUCUGGUUAAGUGGGAAACGAUGUGGGAAGGCUCAGACAGCUAGGAUGUUGGCUUAGAAGCAGCCAU